rnacentral:rRNA from 1 species
AUGAAUUGCAUGAGCUGGAACUGCCGGGGGCUUGGGAACCCCGAGGCAGUUCGCGAGCUUCGCAGCAUUGUGAAGCAAGAAGGUCCUGCCCUUUUAUUCGUAAUGUAAACUAAAAUAAGGGCGAAGAGAGUGGAAAACCUGAAACUCACGUUGGGGUUUGCGGGUUGUUUCGUAGUCGAUAGUGACGGUCUGAGUGGUGGCGUUGGACUGUUCUGGUCGAAGGAAGUUUCAGUUGAAUUGAAGAAUUAUAGUCCGAGUCAUAUUGACGUCCUAGUUAAGAAGGAGGGACAAGUUUCUCCGCCAUGGAGAUUAACAGGUUUCUAUGGAGCACCGAGAGCAGAGAAUCGGCAUCAUAGCUUGCGGUUCAUGAGAACUCUCUAUGCGAUCCAACAUCAAGCUUGGAUCUGCGUUGGUGAUUUUAAUGAGACCUUGUAUGGGUCCGAGCACUUCAGCCGGGGAGCACGGCCCGAGUGGCAGAUGCGGGCCUUCCGCGAGGUGGUAGAAGAGUGCGCCCUACAGGAUCUAGGGUGGACUAGUUUGGAAUUCACAUGGGAUAACAAACAGCAAGGGGCAGCAAAUGUGAAAGCACGCCUCGAUCGUGCGCUCAUAAAUGAGGAUUUUUUUCAAUCUUUUUUCCCAUACUCGAGUUAG